rnacentral:rRNA from 1 species
CAGUCGCCGCGGUAAUACAGAGGGUGCGAGCGUUAAUCGGAUUUACUGGGCGUAAAGCGUGCGUAGGCGGCUUCUUAAGUCGGAUGUGAAAUCCCUGAGCUCAACUUAGGAAUUGCAUUCGAUACUGGGAAGCUAGAGUAUGGGAGAGGAUGGUAGAAUUCCAGGUGUAGCGGUGAAAUGCGUAGAGAUCUGGAGGAAUACCGAUGGCGAAGGCAGCCAUCUGGCCUAAUACUGACGCUGAGGUACGAAAGCAUGGGGAGCAAACAGGAUUAGAUACCCCUGUAGCCCUGUCUCUUAUACA